GUACUCGCUUCAGCAGCACAUAUACUAAAACUGGAUACAGAGAAGAUUAGCGUGGCCCCUGCACAAGGAUGACACGCAAAUUCCUGAAGUGUUCCAUAGUUUU